rnacentral:rRNA from 1 species
AAACCAACUGGGAUUACCUUAGUAACGGCGAGUGAAGCGGUAAAAGCUCAAAUUUGAAAUCUGGUACUUUCAGUGCCCGAGUUGUAAUUUGUAGAAUUUGUCUUUGAUUAGGUCCUUGUCUAUGUUCCUUGGAACAGGACGUCAUAGAGGGUGAGAAUCCCGUUUGGCGAGGAUACCUUUUCUCUGUAAGACUUUUUCGAAGAGUCGAGUUGUUUGGGAAUGCAGCUCAAAGUGGGUGGUAAAUUCCAUCUAAAGCUAAAUAUUGGCGAGAGACCGAUAGCGAACAAGUACAGUGAUGGAAAGAUGAAAAGAACUUUGAAAACGAGAGUGAAAAACGUACGUGAAAUUGUUGAAAGGGAAGGGUCAUUUGAUCAGACAUGGUGUUUUUUAGCAUGCACUCGCCUCUCGUGGGCUUGGGCCUCUCAAAAACUUUCACUGGGCCAACAUCAAUUUUGGCGGUCAGGUAAAAAACUCUUUUGGAAUGUAGCUACCUCGGUAGUGUUAUAGCCUUUUGAAAUACUGUCAGCUGGGAUUGA